CAAACAUUCCGAUUUCUAGGUCUUUAGCUCCCUGGCUAAUAAGUGCCUGGGGUUCGUCAAAGAGCUCCAGGUGUCCAUUCCUGAGUCAUACGGUGACUGCCAUCGUGGAGGUGGGAUUAAAUUGAGAUCGAGGAGGAGGGGUGGAGGCCCCAGGAGACGGCAGGAGCGGGAUCAGUAAGUGCAGACCAGGUGCAUGGGUAGGUUUCGGAGAAAGGCAGAGAAACAGGCCAUGGUCAGCUCAGGGCUGACACAGGUCCUAGGAAGGCCUCUGAAUGUCCAGAGGCCUAUGCCAGGUGAACCCUGGGAUGCGGGGACAGGGACACAGCUGGUGCCCACGUGGUUACCAUGUACUGAAGUCGGCUCCUGUACUGCAGCUUGUCCCGCAGAAAACCCGUGACAGUGCACUCCUCAUUCUGUGUCAAGGGCCACAUCUCCAAAGGCUCAUUCCCCAAGGCCACGCCAAGGAAGAUCCCAAGAUCCGCAGCCAGGUGAAGCCCCGGGGCAUGGUGGUGUUCCUCUUCCCCGAGAGCUCAAGCGCCGUCCCCAGCAGUGUGUCCACAGAGGCCUAAGCACGGCCUACAUGGCCUCGGGGCAGCAGAGGUGGUCACUGAGUCAGGGAAGGGCUGGCCCUGGAGGAGUGGCUGGGCUGCGGGAGCGAGCAGGUGCCCAAAGGGCAGCAGCUACCCUUAUCUGCCCGGCAGCGUGGAGGACAGCCGGGGGGUGCUGGCUGUGAGUCCCAUGGCAGCCCAGAAGCAGGUCUGAGCCGGUGGCUUGGGGGUCUUUCGGGGUCUUCCUUUCCAAGGAGCAGGAGGAGAGAGUCCCUGGUAGGCCCCUCGGAAUCUGGGGCUGGGUGACGCUUUCUCUGAUUUCUCCGACUGCAGCUGCUCAGUGUGAAAUCUGGCUCUAGGAAGAGAAAGGAGGAGAGAAACUGAUUAUGUAAGAGCAGCGCUGCCACUCAGCCAUCAGCCACAGUGCACACCGCACCCACGGCCUGCACAGGACCACCCGGCCCUGGCAGCUGGACACGGCUCACAUGAGAAAUGACUUCAGGAUGUCCGAACGGCCCUGGCCCAUGAGUGAGUUAUGAUGACACCAGCUGGCAGCCUGGGGCCUGAACAAAAGCAGGACCAAGGAAUGAACAGGUGGUU
rnacentral:lncRNA from 1 species